rnacentral:lncRNA from 1 species
UUGACCUUAAGCCUGCUGGGUUGACUUGCUCUAAUCAAGGCGCUAUCACACGUGUCCCGUCUGGGUGGAGGAAUUCGACGAUUUUGUCGUGCUACGCUUCACCCUUUUGCUGCUGCUCUUGUGAUUUUCCAGAUGGGAAAGGUUUCAUCAAUCUGGCAAAGUGAGGAUGGUAGAGGUCAGAAAUGUCCACCGAUGCCAGAGGACAUAUGAUGGAAGUGCCUCUUCACAGACUAUCACAGCGUAGACUCAUCUCUCCCGGCACACGCACCGAUGUGAAGUUACAGCCUUGGGGAAUACUGAACAGAUUGAAGCAGAGCGGCCUGGGCAGGCAGAGGACCACGAGAGACUGAACCCUGGCCAGGCGUGAGGAUUAUACCCCUUGGAUGUCAAAAUGAUGCCUCAAAACCCAACAUAUCAUGGAUCUCAAGAUUCAUUCAUCUGUUUAUUUGUUCAACAAAUAUUUGUCGAACUCAAGAAGCACAUAGUAAGUACUGUCGUAAGGAUCCGAGAUACGGGAGUAAAGCGAGCAGAAAAGAAAAAUCUCUGCUUAAUUUCUAGUGGGAAGGGAUAGACAACAAAUACGUAAAAGUCAGAGGUGGUAAGUGCGAUGAAAAACAGUAAGGCCGGGACAGGAGGCAGUGGUGAGGCAAAGGGAAUGCCAGUGUUCAGGAGGCCAGUGCAUUUUAAGACAUCAUAAAUUUUAAAAUAGCUUUGGGAGAAGAGAUUUAAAAGAAAAACCAAAAAAAAAAGUCUGUUACAUUCAAUGCACACACACACACACACACACACACGCAUAUAUAUUUUUAAACCGACUAUAGCAUACAUUGAUCAUUGCAUGCCACAUUUUUUUGUUGGUUUGAGGCUAAGAUUUUUCUCACACACAGCAUCUAACGUUCCUUCUUCUGAAUCAUGUAUGGUUUCCAGUUAAUGUAUAAUAUCAUGGUGACAUGCUGUUUUUCUCGUAUUUGUGCCCUCUGUAGGACUAACCAUGGAGUCCCGACUUGCAUCAACGAAUUCUUGGAUUUUGUGCUACAUUUUUUUUUUUUUUAAUUUCGGUACACUUUUGCUUUCAUUCUCCUCCUUAAUUUAAUUACAUAUUGCUGGAAGUUAAAUAGCUUCUCUUCAAAGGCAGCUAGUAACUUUUGAUAUGUAACCUUACAGAUACCCUUCGGAACUUGUGAAUCAGUCACACCAAUUUUUCCUGGCUUUGAAAUGCCGAUGAUCAGUUCUGAGAUGCCUGGUUACAUUUGGCCAACAGUCAAUGACUGCUACUUCAUAAAAUACUCCUCUAUCUGCAAGCUAGAGAAUUUCUUUUCAUAGCAAUUGGGAAAUCCCUUCCUUGUAGAGAAACUUGAAAUUUUGAACAAAAAAUAUUUUUGAUAUCAGAACCUACUCUCAUGGAAGCAUCACAGGGGACCAGGGCUUUGUGGAACACAGGGAGAGAAACAUCUCCACGCUGUAACCGCCCCUUGUUGGUACUUGUCUUUUUGAUAAUAGCCAUUCUGACGAGUGUAGGGUAAUAUAUCAUUGUGGUUUUGUUUUGUAUUUCCUUGAUGAUGAGUGAUGUUGAGCAUUUUUUCGUGUGCGUGUUGGUCAUCUGGAUGUCUUCUUUGGAAAAAUGUCUAUUCAGAUGCUCUGCCCAUUUCUUCAUCAGACUGUUUGGGUUUUUGUUGUUGUUGUUGUUGUUAUUUAGUUGUAU